UUCGGAGGACAAAUCUGACCAAGCACCAAAUUCCAGAAAGGACUUUUAUGGGGUUGCACUAAGAUUUGAAUCUGAGGCCUACCUGGAUUCCUCACUGAAAGAAUGAUCCAGAUUGGCCUGUGAGAUGUGGACAGAAGUGACAAUGUAUCAAGCUUGGGCCUUGAGGCAUUCUCUCCUCCUGAGCAUCUGCCAUCACCUUAAGGACAUGGCCCCGAAGCAUCUGGUCCAAGGAAAAUGACACAUGGGAGCAGAUUGCACCCAACCUGGUGCUCAGAGACCCUCCAUAUGAGAAGACGGAGUGGUUGACUCACUUGCCCAUGUUUGGAGCCGGGCUGGGAUUUGGGGAGGCCUUUCCCCAGAGCCUCUGCUCCACGUGAUUGCAUGUGGCCUGAAGCACUGAAGACUUUCUCAGAUAAAUGCAUUUACCUCCUUGUUUUUCCACACCAUGCUGAUGUAGGAACCCGAUGAAGAGCCUGAGGCACAAGGAGCAAAAUAAUUGACCCAAGGCAACAAAUGGAACAUGGUGGAUCUUGGACGGCUUUCUGGCUCCAGGUGGGUCCAUGGGGAAGUUUGUGGAAGAGAUCAGCACUUGAAUCAGGAGAUUGAGUAAAGAAGAUGGGCCCCUCAAAGUAGGUGGGUCUCAUUCAACCCAAAGAAGGUCUAAAUAGAACAAAAUAGAAGGUCUAAAUAGGACAAAAUGGUGGAGGAAAAGUGGAUCUUCCUGUUUGAGCUGGGACAUUCAUCUUCUCAUGCCUGCCUGGGGACCUUGCCUCUCCCCCAGACCCCUGUAGAUUGGACUUGGACUUAUACCAUUGGAUUUUCCUGGUUCAUAGGUUCUUUAGAUCCAAGUUGUAUUACACUACUGGCUUUCAUGAUUCCCUAGCUUACCAUAGCAGAUGGCAAGACUUCAUGGCCUCUAUUAACCGUAUAAGCCAAUUCCUAUAAUAAAUCAUUCUCUCUGUGUCUCUUGGUCUCUAUAUUACCCAUAUAUAUCUGCAUGUCUAUAUCUAUAUCCUAUGGCUGCCUAUAUAUCUCCUAUGAUUCUGUUUCUCUGGAAAAUGCUAAUACAACAUGAUUGGCUUUGUGAUAUUUGGGGUUUCACCAUAAAAUUGUUGCUAGAUUAUAUGCGACAUUAGAUAAAAAUGCUAAGUAAAAAGGCUCUAUUAUUUAUUUGAAAACCCUGUAUGCACACAUAUAAAAUAUUAGCAUCACCUGGUUUGGUAGUCAAUAGAGAAGGCUGAAGGUCUUGAACUUGGAAGUGGAAUGAAGCAGCACUUCAGUGAGUUAAUCAGGCAGUACCA